GACAGAGGAGCCAAGCGUUGUCCGGACUGACUGGGCGUAAAGCGCCCGCAGGCGGUCGUGCGCGUGGGGUGUGAAAGCGCUCGGCUUAACUGAGCGAGGCCAUCCCAUACGGCGCGACUCGAGCCGUCCAGAGGCCGGUGGAAUUGCCGGUGUAGUGGUGAAAUGCGUAGAGAUCCGGAAGAACACCGGUGGCGAAGGCGGUGAGCUGGGCAGUUGCUGACACUGAGGCGCGACAGCGUGGGGAGCAAUCGGG
rnacentral:rRNA from 1 species